rnacentral:rRNA from 1 species
AUGAACGCUGGCGGCGUGCCUAAUACAUGCCAGUCGCGCGAACAGACGAGGAGCUUGCUCCUCUGACGUUAGCGGCGGACGGGUGAGUAACACUUGGAUAACCUACCUAUAAGACUGGGAUAACUUCGGGAAACCGGAGCUAAUACCGGAUAAUAUAUUGAACCGCAUGGUUCAAUAGUGAAAGACGGUUUUGCUGUCACUCAUAGAUGGAUCCUCGCCGCAUUAGCUAGUUGGUAAGGUAACGGCUUACCAAGGCAACGAUGCGUAGCCGACCUGACAGGGGGAUCGGCCACACUGGAACUGAGACACGGUCCAGACUCCUACGGGAGGCAGCAGUAGGGAAUCUUCCGCAAUGGGCGAAAGCCUGACGGAGCAACGCCGCGUGAGUGAUGAAGGUCUUCGGAUCGUAAAACUCUGUUAUUAGGGAAGAACAAAUGUGUAAGUAACUAUGCACGUCUUGACGGUACCUAAUCAGAAAGCCACGGCUAACUACGUG